rnacentral:rRNA from 1 species
GACGAACGCUGGCGGCGUGCCUAACACAUGCAAGUCGAACGGUGUAAGUAUUUCGGUAUUUACCUAGUGGCGAACGGGUGAGUAACGCGUGAGCAACCUGACCUUUUGAGGGGGAUAACAACCGGAAACGGUUGCUAAUACCGCAUAAGACCACGCUACCGCAUGGUAGAGAGGUCAAAGGAGUAAUCCGCAGAAGGAGGGGCUCGCGUCCCAUUAGAUAGUUGGUGAGGUAACGGCCCACCAAGUCAGCGAUGGGUAGCCGAGCUGAGAGGGUGAUCGGCCACACUGGAACUGAGACACGGUCCAGACUCCUACGGGAGGCAGCAGUGGGGAAUAUUGGGCAAUGGGGGAAACCCUGACCCAGCAACGCCGCGUGAGGGAAGAAGGCUUUCGGGUUGUAAACCUCUGUCGCAGGGGACGAAGCAAAUGACGGUACCCUGUGAGGAAGCCCCGGCUAACUACGUGCCAGCCGCCGCGGUAAAAC